rnacentral:rRNA from 1 species
UACGUAGGGGGCAAGCGUUGUUCGGAAUUACUGGGCGUAAAGGGCGCGUAGGCGGCACGACAAGUCGGAAGUGAAAGCCCGGGGCUCAACCCCGGAAUGUCUUUCGAAACUGUCGAGCUAGAGUGCAGAAGAGGCAACUGGAAUUCCCAGUGUAGCGGUGAAAUGCGUAGAUAUUCGCAAGAACACCAGUGGCGAAGGCGGCUCACUGGCCCGGUACUGACGCUGAGGCGCGAAAAGCGUGGGGAGCAAACAGGGAUUAAGAAAACCCUUGUACG